GACGAACGCUGGCGGCGUGCUUAACACAUGCAAGUCGAACGGAAAGGCCCUGCUUUUGUGGGGUGCUCGAGUGGCGAACGGGUGAGUAACACGUGAGUAACCUGCCCUUGACUUUGGGAUAACUUCAGGAAACUGGGGCUAAUACCGGAUAGGAGCUCCUGCUGCAUGGUGGGGGUUGGAAAGUUUCGGCGGUUGGGGAUGGACUCGCGGCUUAUCAGCUUGUUGGUGGGGUAGUGGCUUACCAAGGCUUUGACGGGUAGCCGGCCUGAGAGGGUGACCGGCGACAUUGGGACUGAGAUACGGCCCAGACUCCUACGGGAGGCAGCAGUGGGGAAUAUUGCACAAUGGGCGGAAGCCUGAUGCAGCAGCGCCGCGUGCGGGAUGACGGCCUGCGGGUUGUAAACCGCUUUCGCCUGUGACGAAGCGUGAGUGACGGUAAUGGGUAAAGAAGCACCGGCUAACUACGUG
rnacentral:rRNA from 1 species